UACGUAGGGCGCAAGCGUUGUCCGGAAUUAUUGGGCGUAAAGAGCUCGUAGGCGGCUUGUCACGUCGGGUGUGAAAGCCCGGGGCUUAACCCCGGGUCUGCAUUCGAUACGGGCUAGCUAGAGUGUGGUAGGGGAGAUCGGAAUUCCUGGUGUAGCGGUGAAAUGCGCAGAUAUCAGGAGGAACACCGGUGGCGAAGGCGGAUCUCUGGGCCAUUACUGACGCUGAGGAGCGUAAGCGUGGGGAGUGAACAGG
rnacentral:rRNA from 1 species